AGUGAACGCUGGCGGCAGGCCUAACACAUGCAAGUCGAACGGCAGCACGGCAGUAGCAAUACUGUGGGUGGCGAGUGGCGGACGGGUGAGGAAUACAUCGGGAUCUACCCUGUUGUGGGGGAUAACGUAGGGAAACUUACGCUAAUACCGCAUAAGAACUGAGGUUGAAAGCGGCGGACCGCAAGGCGUCGCGCGAUUGGAUGAACCGAUGUCCGAUUAGCUAGUUGGCGGGGUAAAGGCCCACCAAGGCGACGAUCGGUAGCUGGUCUGAGAGGACGACCAGCCACACUGGAACUGAGACACGGUCCAGACUCCUACGGGAGGCAGCAGUGGGGAACAUUGGACAAUGGGCGCAAGCCUGAUCCAGCCAUGCCGCGU
rnacentral:rRNA from 1 species